rnacentral:lncRNA from 1 species
GAAUUUGUAAGAUGAUCGUGCUGGAUGCUGUCUUCAUCAUUGAGUUUUUGAAGGAUUCAUAUGAUGAUGACUUUCCUCAAACUCUUGAUACCAGGAUGAUAUCUUGCAUAGGAGAAGACUUGAUGCUACCUGAAAACCAACUACCUUUCUUCAUUAUCGACUAUAUAUAUAGCGAGUUUUAUCACCCUCGAAAAGAUGAACCAAACAUUACUUUUCUUCAUCUUGCCACCCGUCAUUUUGAAAAUUACCCAUUUGCACAAGGGCCAAAAUCCACACCACCGACAGAUGCAAGGCAUUUCACUGAUUUACUAAUGAAAUUAAUGUUGAAAGGAGCCCUCAAGCGAGACAAUUGCUCUAAGCCUCCUAUCAAGCUGAAAUAUAGCGCCGUCACGCUUCGCAAAGGAGGAGUGAAGUUUCAGGUCUCCGAAGACAAGUGUUUGUUCAACGUACAUUUUGAGAACGGAGUGUUGAAAAUACCACUCUUGGAAGUUGAUGAUUCCUUCGAACGUUUUGUACGAAAUGUCAUGGCCUGGGAGCAGUGCUACAAACCGGGUGAAGCUUACAUCAGCAACUACUUUAAGUUUAUGGACCAUCUUAUUGACAGGGCAGAAGACGUGGCUUUGCUAGCUGAAGAGGGAAUUAUUAAGAACUGGCUAGGUGAUGACGCCGCAGUUUCAAAGUUGAUGAACAACCUUAGCCAACGUAGUGAAAAAACUUCUUAUUAUAGUGAUAUCUGUCAACGCUGAAUGCCUACUAUGAGAACCCCUGGAACCGUAGAAGGGCAACCUUGAAACUUGUUUAUUUCAGCAAUCUUUGGAGAGGUACGGGAACUGUUGCUGCAGCUUUCCUUCUAAUCCUCACUUUGAUACAGACUAUAACUUCCCUGAAAUCGUCAUUCUAGGAUUAAAUCUUGUUUAGUUUUAUUAAUCCUACGCAAUAAUUGAUGGGUUUGUUAUUGUUGUAUUCCUUGGAAAUUGUUGUUUUAAUUUUAGUUCAAAGCUUGCGUAGUUCUAAAUGUAGCUAUUUCUUGUUGUAUUGUCCUGAAACUGAUCCUGUACUUGUUCCCUGUGUGCUGUCCUUUCCUCUCAAAGCUCUCUUCUUUUAAGCUCUUCUUCUGAUUAAAUAAAGCUGAAGAAUGCAUGAUCUCAAUUUUCACUUGAUCAUGGCGACUGUGAAGCCUUGAAUCCUAAAACUAGUCGAAUUAUGCCAAGUAAAUACCACAAGUCCAUAUCGGCAUUUCCAGAUUCAUAAGCUAUCAACCUCACAACUAACUUCCAUCAAUGUCAAUUUCAAUUGAUCCAGCGGAGGACCUAGCUAACCACGAAACCGAACAAGUUUUCUAAUGAACAACUAGGUUCGAAUCCCUCUUUUGCAACCAAAGAAAAAAAAACAUACUGUGGUUUCUCUGGGUCAAUCUUGUUGCUCUCCACGACAAGCAUUUUGAUCCGUGAUUCCUUGACGCCAUGCUCAUUCAUCAACCACAACUCAAAACUGUCGUCGUCGUCAAGACCACAAGAAUAGAUGGAGUUUUCAUAAACUCCAAUUUUUAUAUCCCAGCAAUAGUUAUCCAGAGAGUGAGAAUGAUCUAAAUUUCUCGUUUCCAAGAUCAAAUGCACAUAUUACAGAAUCAAUGUUAAUGGUUUCAUAACGAUCAACUAUAUAACAUCCAUAAAUGAACAUGACAAAAAAAGGCCAACAAUCUGGGUAGCCAUGACAGCCGAGGACUUUUCCAGUACUUCUCUAGGUGCCAGUCUCUCGAUUAUGAAUACCUUAGCAUGGAAUUCAGAAGAAUCUAUUGACUCAUAAACUCUAAUAACCUUACCAAUUUAUGUGGUUGAUUUAUACACGAUCCAUGGCCUCUAUAAAUUUAUUUGUACCUCUAUAAUAUAAAGUUUCCAAAAAUUUCAAUGUCACCCUAAACUAAUAAUAAAACCCCAAUCCCUUUUGAGAGCCGACCUCUCUUCUCUACCGUAGGCGUCGAAGAAGAAUAAAAAAAAAAUCCCCAAAAAAGAAGAAAAAAACAUGAAUGGAGUUUUAAACAACCCGUAUUUUGAAUUUUCUUUUUUGUUUAAGGUUUUCAAAUGUUUUUUGAGAUGUUAUAACACAUUGAAGAUUCAAGAUAAAAGUUUUUAAAAAAAUGGGCUUUUGUCUUUUUGUUAUUUACCGUGUGUUUGGUAUUAAUAUAUAAAAUGUUUUUAAAAAAAGUUUAUUUUAAUUGAAAUCAUGUUAAAAUAGUUUUUUUAGAUAUUUAACAUUAAAAUCAUAAACAAUUACUAAAAAAAAUAUCAAUUUGAUGUUUUUACAAGCUAAACACACUCUUAAAACGCACUUAAACAAAAACAAGCAACCUUUUAAUCUUUUUAAAUUUAUAAAAUAACGUUUGAUUAUUGUCACGGAACAAAAAAGAUAGAGACAAGAUAGAAAAUGAAACAAAGAUAAAAUUACAUUUGAUAGUGAUGUAUAAGAUAAAUUGAAUAUCUCUAUAUCUUAUUUGUUUAUGGUGGAUAAAAUAAAAUAAAAUAUAUAAAAAAAUUAUUUUAUAUUUAAUAUGUAUUGUUGUCAAACUUAUAUAUUUUUACAAAAUAAUUAUAUAUAUAUAUAUAUAUAUUACUUUAGUUUUUAUUAAAUGUUGAAAUUAAUAAUAUUAUAAUAACAUUAAUCAUAAAACUAAGACUGCCUUGAUGAAAUAACAUGAGGCUUUAACUAGUCCGAGUUCAAGAAAAAAUAUUGGAAGGAGUGACUUAACUUGGCUGAUAAAAAACCCAUGUAAAAAAUAUGUUGAUUUUUUUGAAAAAAUAUUCAAAACAAGGUUGCUUUGAUAUUUAAAAAAAAUAAAAUUGGGUAAGCCGAUUUAACCCUCUCGACCCGUAACCUGAACUUUGUCCUAGAUUGACUUUUGAGUCGAGCUUUAAAAUUAUAAUAAUAAUUAUUUUUAUUCAUAUGUUGACUUGAGUUAACUCGUCUUGACCCUCCUGAUCCGUGACCUAGGUUUUGUCUAUAUCGAUCACAAGUUAAGUUUUAAAACUAUAAUAAUAAUAAUUUUUAUCGUUGCAUUGAUCCAAGGCAACCCGUGUUUAUUCUCUAACCUAUGACCUAAGCCUUGUUCUAGUUGACUUUCGAAUUGGUUCUUAAAACUUGAUAAUAAUUAUUUUUAUUCUUAAACUUACUAGGGUUAACCUGAACUAUGCCCUAAAUCGAUCAUUUGAUUGACUUUAAAAACUAUAAUAAUUAUUAUUUUUAUUUUUUAGAUUGACUGGGAUCAACCUGAACUAUGGCCUAAAUCAAUUCUUGGAUUGAAUUUAAAAAUUAUAAUAAUAACUAUUUUUAUCUUUCCAUGUUUUAAUUAAACAAUUUUAAAAUUAGAAGUUUUGUAUAAUAAUAUUUUAAAAAUAAAAACUAUUAUCUUUGAAAACACAUUUUCUUUAUGUCUCAUAAUUUAAAAUUUAAAAGUAUAUAAAUUCACUUAAAAAUUAUAUCAAAAAUAAUUUUUUUCAUAUUCUUAUAUCUUUAAUCAAAUAUAUUUAUAUUUAUACUUUAUUUAUAAUUUGUUUUUUUCUAGAGAGUAAUCAAACUUUAACUAAGGGUAUCAUUGGAAAAGCAUGAACAUUGUUAAAUAUAGAAGGGAAAAACAUCACAUGCAGCACACGUGACAAAAUAAAGAAAAGAAAACAAGCCAUCGCCAGAAGUAGAACAGAGUAUUGGCAAGUAGGAACACCGAAAAUGGAGAAACAGAGAGAGAGGAUGGAGGAGCUGCUAAAAUUCACUCUUGAAUCCCACAUUAACCAAACCCUAGAAUUCAAUCUAGGACUCUCCAAAUACUUCUGCAUUAACCUCCUCGAAGAAGACCCAAAUGAUAUGUUAUGUCCCUCAACACCAACACCAACACCAACACCAACAGGUAAUAAAAACCAUAUAAGAAAUUAUUUUUCAAGUUAAAGAUUUUAUUUUUAUGCUAAAAUGCUCAAAUGGGCUGCAGAUUCUUUUGAUGGGUUUGCUCUAUAUCCGUUGUAUAAACGUUUAGCUUCAGCUUUGUAUCGGUCUGUAAAGUCUGGUGCUGUAAGUAGAAGUUAUGAGCAGAUGGUGUUUGGUGAUAAAGAUAGCAACUUGAAGCAGAAAAAAGAGAAUUGGGAUCAGUUAAUUAAAGAGAAGGGACUUGAAUUGAUAAAUGUAAGCUUUUGUUUAUAGGUUCUUGAGUAUCUUUAAUUAAUAUUGAUUGGUGAUUAAAGGGUUUUUUUUUCUCUUGAUCAGGUUUUGGAGGGAAUGUAUUGUGAAAUUCAUGUUCAAGAACCUUACUUUUCACUCUUGAAAGGUAUUAUUUUUGUUUCUUUGAUAUGGGGUUUUUCCAUGUUUUUGGCUUUUAAUUUUUUUUUGGAUUGUCUGUUGUUUAUGUGGUUCAAGACAUGUUCUUUAGUAAUAUGGGGUUGUGUGUAUAGAUGGGAGGAAAACAAUCGAAGGAAGGUGUGCUACUGGUGAUUACAUAAGGUAGAUGAUUUGCCAUAUGGUUUAAGUACACCAUCAUGAAUAUUUGCAAGUUAAUGAUUGUGCAAUCUUUAAAGAACUCUGUGCUAGAAAGUGGGUGAAUGUCUGUUGUAGUAGCUUAUGUUCGGCUUGUUUUGAUGCUGUUAGAAUUGAGCCGGGUGAUUUGAUUCUCGUAAACAAAAUUGUGGUACUUAAAGUGGAGGUGAGACCACAUUUAUAAGUUGAAUUCAUUCAUUUUUAUUUCCAGUCUGGUCUAUAGAACAAUUUUAUCUAUUUCAGGAUGUCCGCAGAUAUGCUUCAUUUUUGAAGAUGUUGCAAGCUGAGACUCUCGAGAAAGUCCUUCCUGGAGUUAAAACUGUUGAAGAAGGUAAACCUAGUUUUGUGUUGAUGCUUAGACUGUGCUGUCAAAAUGAUGUUCUUAGUUGAGGCAUUGCAAGGAUGAGUUGCUAGAAUUAAGUUGUCAUGUCUCUUAAUUACAAGUAAUGCUGGGAGUUAAUUAAACUCCAAGACUUUAUUUAACUUGUUAAGUAUAGGGGGCAGGGUUUCUUUUACUUGUGCAUAACAGUUAAUUGUAUUGUAAACUUCUAAAAUGUUCUGGUUUGCAUUUCUGGAAGAAUCUUUACAAUACACUCUUCGCUCCAAGUAAUCUUUUAAAUUCUUUGCAUUGUUUGGAAUGAGAUGUGUUGAAAAACCUGUUACCUGCGAUUGCUUUCUUGAAUUUAUAAGGUCUGAAUUGUAUAACAGUUAUGAUCUGAUGGCAAGCCAGGUGUCAAGAUUUAUAGGAAGUUUUAUACAGAAGAAAAGGAAAUGUCUAAUGGUGUCCUCGCAAUCUGUGUUUCAAAACUGGUUGCCCAGCCAUACCUUUCUUUGGCUAGCAUACUGUUUGUAAGUUUUUCCUGAACUCUUGUGAUUCCUAUGUUUUAUUGCGUGAGACUUAAGCCUGAUUUUUAUAUUGCAGAUCAUCAGGAUAUGUAUGUGACAUGAUAUAUACCAUGCGCAUCAUGUUUAGAAAUAGUCAUAGAUGUCCUGUAAAAUGACACUGAGAGCUAAAAGUUCUGAUUAUUUUGGUGUCUCUAAUUCAGGGAUUAAGUUAUGGAGGUGUUCGGAGUCUACUGGGUCUUGCAGAUACUGGUGGAACAGUUUCUAAUGCCCUAACCCCACCAAGAUAAACGCUUCUCUCAUCCAUCAUUUUCCCUUAUAAUCCAAAUGUAAAAUUAUGGUUCGUUAUGAAUUGUUUCAUGCUUUAUGCUAUCUCCAAAGGUGUUCUUUUAGCUCUUUCUGGGCCCUUUUAUAUAAGAAACUGGAUUGCAUUGAAUUGGUCUGUUCAAAACUUGGAUUAAAAAAAAGUCUUAGUAGAGAACAUGUUGAUAACUUCGUGUCUGCAUGUCUACAUGCAUGAAUGGAUAACAUGCUAGAAAACAAAACAAAAAUGCGUUCAGGUGAAUCAGGAUUGGCUCAGGCUUAAAAUAUGCAAAAUUUUCAAGCAGAACACGAAAGUUAUGCUAAUUGAGGCCUUCUUUUCUUGUGGAUAAAAGAACAUGUUGAUAUAUAGAGAAGAAAUUGCAAGAAAAACCUGGAGAAGACAUCCAAAAAAGUAGAAAAUGAGAGCACCAAAGGCAAUGUAUAAGAGCACUCAAAUCACAUUUAGACCCUACUCUAUGCUAUGUUGUUCUCUGCAUAACAGCUUGGUACCCAGUUGUGUGCCCCUAAACUGAGUGCAUGUAAUGAUGGAUUCCUAAUGAAAUUGACAUAUCGGUGAAUCCAUUCAAAUUAUCAGAGUAGCUUAUUGUGAGAUUUGUGUGGUUUAUACAAGUUGUAUCUCAGUUCUUGUCUUGGAAGUACCUUCAACUAUAACAUCCUAGCCAAAGAGCUGGUAGCUCAAGUGGCACCAUGACUCCCCUCCCGCUCCCUAGAGAUCUUAGGUUUGAACCUCUUCUUUGUAACCAAAAAGAAAAAAGAAAUAAACACUAUAGCAUGCUAGAUUUAUCAGUUAGGACAAUGCUUACCACUCAUCUGCAACUCUUCGUAGAAUUGUUUCUCCAAGGAACUAUCUGGCAAAUAAUCCGGUUUUGUUUGCAUCAAGGGAUUCAAGAGUGUGGAUUUUAUUAAGUUAAUUUUAUUGUUCUUAAACUGACUACUCGACAGUGCCUACAUAUCAUUUCAAACGAAUUUUCCAUCUGAUUAUGGAGAUCUUGCAUGCCUUUUGGAUCUGCCACAGCCACCGCAAACAUUCUGAGAUAUGCUUUGCCAGGCAAAAUCAACUACUCUUCAUCUGCAUUGCCUUCUGAUUUCUGAGCCAAAAAUGAUCGUGGCCACAAAUUUCUUGCUCCUGUAAAAUGGAAAAAGAAAUGCUGAAACUGGCUCUAAAUUACUUUCAUUCUUGAAUGCAAUAGCAUCUAUACAUUUUCUUUUGUUCUUUCUCUGAAUUGAAACGGCCAUACUAGAUUGCUACAGUUUUUUUAAUGUUGAUGUCAGUUCAUGAAAACAAAAAAACAAGUUCUAAAUUGUUGCAAAACUUUGAGUGAUCUGAAGCUCAUAUUGUGAGCUACUGCAAUUCCAGUUUCCAGUAUUAUCGUCAAAUACAAGACAAUCUUUUAAAUUUAUUUAUACAUCAUAUUUACUAGUUUUUUUUUUGUUUUAAUUCUCAUCCAAGACAAUAUGAUUUGAAAUUGAAAUGGAAUUAAUGACUCAAUUUGACAAUCCAACAACCUAAAUAAAAAAAUAAACUAAAAUAGAAAGGGUUGAGAACAAUUAAUUUAUUAUAGCAAAAGAUACAAGACACAAUUUAUUAUGAAUUUGAAAAUAAAAUUAUUAUUUUGCACCUCAAUCAAGUAACAUUUAGCCUAGCUUAGAAAGGUAAUGGUAUUUUUUUUAUAUGAAUAAUAAAAAUAUUAAAAUGUUUUUAGAGAUCAAAUAAAAAAAAUACAUGCCUUCAACCCAGGGCUAUUUUCAGUUUUAUAUAUAUAUAUUUGAAUGAAUAAUAAUAUUACUUAACUGCAUUUUAGAUCAAUCAAAUAAAAAUCAUUGAUCAAGGGGUAUUUAUAUCUUUUUCAAGUUGGUUUUUUGUUUUUUUAAAAGCAUUAUUUUAUUUUAACUAGAAUUAAAUAAUACUAAUUUUCAAAAAAUUGUUUGAAAAUGUGGUUUUUUUCAAUCGUAGAACUUGUCUUUUCAUUUGUCAUCAUACAUCAUGUUUUUUUUUUCUAAUCAGACAUGUAUUAUUGAAGGUUGGGUAAUUUAUUAUUGGUGAAUCUUUAUUCUCCUUUUUUCUCUCUCUCUCUUCCCAUAUAAAUUGCAGAUCGAUCUUUUUUGUUUUUAAUAUUUGUACUUCGAUCCUUCUUUUUUGUCUUCUAACUUUUCUCCUUUGCUCUUUAAUAAGAAUUUUAUUUUCUUUCAAUUAAAUCCUUCAAUUUCAAUUUACAAUAUAUUAUAUUUUUUAUUUUUGAAUUUUUUUAUUUGGCCCUUUUAUAAUUAUUUAUUUCAAUUUCACCCUUCAAUUUAAGUAUACAUUUUUUUUUAAUUUUAACCUUUCCAAAUUCUCAAUUUUUUUUCAAUUGGGUCCUCAUUUUUUAAUUUUUUUUUCUUUUUUGUUGUAAUUAUUUUUCUCUUCAUUUUAACCCUCCAAUGGAGAAUUGUGUUCCUUUUCUUUUAACUUCUUUUAUUUGUCUUUUGUCUUUUUGUAUAAGUGUUAUUUCUUUUCAAAAUAGUCCUUUAAUUUUAAUUUUUCAUGUAUUAUUUUUUUUAUUUGAUCUUUAUUCUUUUGAAUUUUAAUUUUUUUUUCUUUACCUUUUUUAUAAAAAAAUUAUUGGUUUUCAGUCUUACCCUUCAAUCCAAGUUUAUGGUGUGUAAUUUGUUUUUUACCUUUAUUCUCAUUCUUUGGUUUUUUUUUAUUUGAAUUAUUUUUUUAUUCAAUUUAAUCCUCCAUUCAAAAAGUUUUGAUUACCCUUUAAUUUAUUUUUUAUUUCAAUUCUCACUCUCAUUUUUCUAUUAUUAUUUUUUAUUUUAGAUUUUUUUGUGUAGUUAAUUUUUUUUCUCAUUUUGUUCUUUAGUAUUUGUUGACUUGGUCCAAUUGUUUUGUCCAUUUUUUAUCCAAUUCCAUACUUUCAUAUAUUUAUUUUCUAUAGUAUUGUAAUCUUUUUUAAAAAAACAAUUGUCUGAAUAAUAUCAUUAUCUAUUCUUUUAUUUUCUAAUUAAAAUAAAAUUAACUUAUUAAAGAUGAUAUGACAUGAGUUGUUGAUUCCUCUUUUUUUUUCUUGAAACGUGCAGAAAAACAUUAAAUUUUACACACAAAAAAACAAACCCACAACGUAGCGUGUACCAGAGCCUAGUUCUAGGCUAAAUGAGAGUCCGAACCAAAUACAAUAACUACAAGUUUUUCUGCACAUGCUACCAGACUACAUAUGACUAGUCAUGAUGGAGUAGUUUGGUAAGUUCAUGAAAAACAAUGUCUUAUUUUAUAAGGGUUUUUUUUUAGUCCUUGCUCAUUAAAGGAUUUAUAUCUAAUUAUUUGAUGAUUUUAUUUCAUUUAUGAACUUGUCCAGAUUAAUGGAUGAUGACCCUUCUGGUCCAACAGCCUCUUCAGCCAACCUUUUCCAUUCCAUGGCGUUUUCCCUCAUUUUCGCACCCUUCUCUCCUUCCAUUAGCUCCUUCACAAGCAUCCCCACUUCUUCUCUUUUGACAUUUUUAUCAAUCUCCAUGCCAACUCCCCAUUCAUUGCAGCUAUAUUUACAGUUCAUUGGUUGAUCUCCAAAGAAGGGCCAGCACAACAUCGGUACACCAGCACUCAAGCUCUCAAUGGUGGAACCCCAGCCACAAUGAGUUAGGAACCCUCCUACAGAUGGAUGGUUAAGUACUUCCUCUUGUGGACACCAGCUAGCAAUGAAGCCAUGCUUCUGAGUUUUCUCUGUGAAUUCUGCUGGCAAAACAGAUGAUUCACCACUGACCAAAUCUGGCCUUAUAAUCAACAAGAAUGGGAUCUGGCUAUUAGCUAGUCCCAUCGCGAAUUCCACUAGUUGAUCAGUUGCCAUCACUACAGUGCUUCCAUAAUUCACAUACACCACUGAGUUGGGCUCCUUUGUGUCCAGCCAUUGGAGACACUUGCUUUCUUCUUUCCAUAGACUGUAUCCAAUAGACUUCAAACUAUUUUCCUCAAUCUGAUUGAGGAAUAACUGGAGUGGACCGAUGGAAUAAACAUGAGAGAAUUCAGUGGAAAGGGCACCCAGAGCUUCUGGCUCCAGGGCAUCAAAAGUAUGGAAAGCAAUUGCACGAGCUUUAACAGAGGUCUCAGCAGCUCCCAUGAGAAAAUUAAAUAUAAUAUCAUCUGGAUCUGUUGUUUCAAUAAACGGAAAAUGUUUAAGACGAAGACCUUUUAUACCAGGAACCCAGUCUACAUUCGUGUCGAGGUAGCCGUUGCUUAGAUAGCUCACAUCUGCAAAACACAAUCUUAUCAGACCGGACUCAAGAAUGAAAAUCUAUUGAAUGCAUAGGAUAAUCGAUCUAGCUGAUUUAUGAUCUUGUAACGCACGUAUGAAGUCACUCCAAGUGAUAGAUCAGGUAGUUAAGGAUGGUUGCUCCCUUUCUACACUUCCUAAGUUUAGACGUUAAGGCCAACAUAUACGAGAGUUUUUUUCUCUGAAUUCAACAAGUUAAUGCGGGGAAUGAACCCUUUUAUAGAACAAGUGUGUGCGUGCAAAUUUAUUACCUUUGAUUGGGGAGAAGCCUCUCUCUCUGAGAGCAUAGAGUUGCUUGAAUCCUAUGUAACCAAUUGCACUCACAGUAGCAUACAUUACAACUGGAAGACCGACAUCUUCCCCAGCUUGGAUGGAGAAAGGAGCAAAAGGAUCUGAAACUAUGGAAGUAACAGGAGGAUUGUUCUCGGACACAGUGUUUCGGAGCCUCACAAGAAGAUCUUUAAAGGGUGCUAAGAAAUUCUUGUUCAGGGCGACACAAAGAGAAGGUAUGUCUUGGGUGGCAUCGAUAUCUGAAGGAGGAAGACCAUCAGGAAUGGUUUCAAAAUGAAAGCCAGGCAGGUUAUCAAGGGCAACAGCUCCUCCUGACCUAAGGAUACGUUUGUGAUUGAAUUCUGUGUUGACAAAUGUUAUGUGCAAGCCCUUACAGUGAAGAAGCUUUGCAAAUUUAAGCAUGGCCUUUAUAUGACCUUGAAACGGACUUGGGAUCACGACUGCAUGAGGCUUGGAAUUGGAUCCCAUAUCUCUCACUCAAUUCCCUUCUUCCUGGGUUGAUCACCAUGUUCGAUCAUCAACGUACUUUAUAGCUCGAAAUACCCCCGGUUUUUAGAAUAUAUUUGGAAAUGUGAUUGUGGUAGCUCGUGUUUUCACGCAAGCUCCUGGUCGCAUUAAUGAAUGAAAUUACUUAGCCUAAUUGAUAUCUUCAUUUAAGAAGGAUCAAGGAAAUUAGAAACUUGGAAAUUGUUUGUCUAUCUAAUCACAAAGUCAAUCGUGCUGAAGAUUAAUCAACGUUUUAACCAUUUCCUUGAAAAAAUCACUUCAUCCUUAUCCCUGUCCCGCUUAUUGCACUUGAGAGCUGUGGAAAAAGCUAGAGAAGCAGAAAAUAUCUAAGACAUAUUCGUAGAAUAUUCAUUUCUGGCCACUUCUCAUAGAAUCAUUGAAGCCAAUAGGGUAUACUUACAGCUAUGGGAAUUGAAUGUAGGGCUGAAAUGUUUUUCACGUUUUUUUUUUUUGAAAAAGAAUAGAGAAAAAUAUAAAAUCAAUAUAUUUAAAAUAAUUUUAUUAUGAAUUUAUAUAUUCUUACACCAAAAAUAUAUUUUUUUUAUUUCAAAACAGUAUCCAAUGACUAGUUGUUGGCUAUACUGGCAUAACAAGGGCUUAUGCAAUAAGGCACGACAACCUUCAUGUUUAGGAUCCCAAUGAUUAGUGGUUUUCGAAUAUAAUUUAAAAAGACCAUGAAAAUAUACUAUGUCACUGAUGCAUAAGGUAUCUGUAAUUAAUAUCUUACAAAAAAAAAAAAAAACUAUGAGUAACUUUCUAAGUUUGACUUCAUACAAAAAAAUACAAAAAACGCUAGCUUUAUUUUAAUCUUCUUAGAUUUUAAUUUUAAAGUUAAAAAUAAAAAAUAUUAUUUUUUUCUAAGUAGACUAAAUCGAUGUGAAGGGUCUAUUUUUAAAAUCAUUAAAAAAACUUAAAUUAACUAAAAAUAUUAUUAUUGUCUUAAUCUUAUCAAAAAGUCAGGUAUACCAAAAAUUUAGGUAAUAAAGCACGACAACUUUCGUGAUUAGGAUUGAUCCCAAUGACAAGUGGUUUUCGAAUAUAUUAUCUCACUCAUGCAUAAGGAAUCUGUAAUUAAUAUAUUAGGAAAAAAAAAUAUAACUAUGAGUACUUUCUAAGAUUGACUUGAAAGUAAAAAAUACUUGCUUUAUUUUUAAAUUUUUAGAUUUUAAUUUUAAAGUUAACAAUAAAAGAAUUAUUAAGUUUUUUUUAAUGCACUGUGAAGAGUUUUUUUUUCCUAAAAUCAUUCAAAGAAAAAGCUUAAUUUAAAUUGAUGUUAAAAUUAACUUGUCACCCAUGACAUAAAAUCAAGAUAAAAAAAAAAUAUUUUUUCAAAUAACUUAGAAAAAAUGAUCAAAGUUAAAUAAAUAAAAAAACAUUAAAAAAAAAAAUUUAAGUUACUCCGGGUUAAUUUAACUAACCCGCAACCUAAGAUAACUUCAUAGAAAAAAAAACAUAAAAAAUCAAAAAGCUUAAGAUCUAGUAACCUAAUAUAAAAAAAAAAUUAAAAAAAAAUAUUAAUAUCAUGGUUUAAAUUCGGUAUAAAAAAUACUGUAUUUGCAUGGUUUUAAAACAUAAUUUCUAAUAUCAUGUUCCCUCUUGAUCAUGACCUAUUCCGGGAGAGGGAGAGGGAGGGAUUUAAAAGUUUAGAAAUUAUGCUAUGCAUACAAAUAAAUUAUAUUAAAUUUUUAAAUAUAUUAUAAUGUUAGGUGAUAAGCAGUGAAGUAUAGGUCUCAAAAAUAUUAAACAAUUGGACAAGCAUGAAAGCGUAAUUAGCACAUUUUAUAUAAAAAAAAAUUAUAUGAUUUUCUUAUAGCAUCGCUCUUAAAAUAUAUAUGGUGGCAAAAGGAGGGUUAAUUUUGUUAAAUAAUAUAGAAAUUAAUAUAUUAUUUUGGUGAAAUAUAUCUUAAAAAAUGCCAAGAUAUAGAAUACAUUGAUGAAAAUGGCUAUACUUUUCUUGAUCUUGCCGCCUUCCAUUUUAGAAAGUUGACGUUUACACAAGGGGUAGAAUACGAACAACAGAUAUUUGUAAUGCAAUUUGAGAACGGAAUGUUGAAAAUACCACGCUUGGAAGUUCAUGAUUCCUUGGAACGUUUUGCACGAAAUGUCAUGGCAACUACUUUAAGAUUGUAAUUCCUUAGCUGGACAGUAUUUGAAGGAGAAGAGAACAAAAGAUAGGCAGAGUUUGUUUCUUUGCAAUUGCUUUUCUUAAGAAUAUAAGUUGGAGUGCGUCUUUUGCAGAGAGAUUCUGUGUUGCUAGUUACAUGUUAUUCUUAUUAGACCUCAAAAGUUUCAUGGUCUUUAAUGCUUUACCUAACGCUAUUCAGGUUGAUCCCUUUUUCUUAAGGGGAAAAAAAAAACCCUUUAGUUAAUUAGAUUAUAAAUGAUAUAAGUUAAAUAAAUCUUUAAAAAUUAAAAAUAACCAUAUAAUUUAACAAUAAAAUAAAACAGGAGAAAGGGAAAACCUAUCGCAAAAAUUAAAAAAAAAAAGAAGUAAAAAUAGUAUUUUCUUAAAAAAUAAAUUAUCCAUUGACUAGUAAAUAUAUUUGCCUUCGUGUUAAUGCCAAGAUUUGUAAUUACCAGUCCUUGCUUAUAUAUAUUUGGCCCAAGCAGGGGGUUGAUAAGAGCAGGAUAUCAUCCAGGGAGAGAGAGAGAGGCUGCAAUAGGAAAGAGGCCGGCUGCCUCGGAUCAUAUAUAACAGAUAUAGUCGUCCGAUCAUCGAUCUCUCCAAGGUCAGCCCUGGCUUACUAGUUUUUUUAAAAAAUAUAUAUAUAUAUAUAUAAAAUUUUGAUAAUGCGAAAUGCUGAUGCUGGUAACCUGGUUUACUACUUAAACAACUGGUUCUUUCUACUCUGUUACUUGUACGUUCUAAUUAGUUCUUCAUUAAAAAGUUUAGCUACAGUACCCGGACCUUAAUUUUCAGGGAAAAAGUCCGGGUAGAAAGCAUUAUAUAUAUAUAUAAAAGUUUCAUGAAACUAUAUUAAAAAAUAAUAUAAAUAAUAUCUUUAUGUGAUAACAAACUAUUGUUAAGAUAUUUCAUUGAAACCCUCUUCCUAUAUUGUCUUAUUUUAACACUAGCUUUGUUUCAUGAAAUAUAGAAAAAAGAAAAAGUGAGGUAGGAUAGCAACCGAAUUGGGAUGUGUGUCAUGAAUUAGAAAACAACAGUAUCCCUGGUAGACAAAAACAACAUCGAUCAAAAAUAAUAAACUAAGGCAUCGUCCUCAUCAUGAUUAUGAGCAUCUCAGUAUCGAUUGAAGACGGUUGAUUGAAUUUUUCUUUUAUUAACUUAGCUGUACGGGUUAGUGUAUAUAUAUUUUGAUUAAUUUUAUAAGUUAUGAAGUUAAUAAUUAUGUAAAUAUUUAAUGAUUUUGUGAUUAGUAAAACUCGAAUUAAUAAAUUUUAAAAAAUAAACUUAAAAUUUAAUGAAUUAAAAUAUACCUUUUAAAUCUUAGUUGAUCUAAACUUUAUGUACAUGGGUUGGGACUUGUUGUGAGGACCGAAAAGUAUAUUGAACUGGACAAAUAUCCAACGAUCCUUCUAAAAACGGACAAGAAUGAAGUACAAGUUGCAUUAUUGUGUUUAGUGAUGAGCAGUGAAGUACAAGUCUCGAGCAUAUUAAACAAUUGGACAAGAAUGAAGAGAGUAAUUAUCACAUUUUAUACAAGAAAUUUAUACGAUUUUCUUAUAGCAUCGCUCUUAAGAUUUACAUGUUGGUAAAAAGUGCCUUAAUAUUGUGAAAUAAUAAAGAAAUUGCUAUAUUAUUUUUGUUAAAAUAUAUCUCAAAAGUGCCUUAUUCUGGAACUAUACACCUGCCAUUCAUUCUUGGUUUUGUUUUGUUACCGAUCCAGAAUGGGAAAGGAUAAAUUUACUGCAAGUGAUUCAAACAUGAAAAAUGAAGUUGAAGGGGCAAGUGCAUCGAAUAUUGAAGAGGACAAGGCAAGUGCUUCAGACAUUGACGAGGAUACUAACAAGGCAAGCGCUUCAAAUAUAAUGGACAGAGGAUAUGAUGAUAUUGACGACGGAAAACGGAAAUUUCGACAUAUUUUGCUAGAGGUGGAAGAAUUAAUAAAGAAGUUGCCCCCUCAAAAGGACCGGGCUGAUGAAUGCUGUAUCUACAGGGUUCCCAACUCACUUCGAGCCAGAAAUCCGGAAGCCUUCACUCCACAGCUGAUUUCAAUAGGUCCUUUUCACUGCGAUGAUGAAAGAGGACAGUCCAUGAAACAUAUAUAUCUACGAGAGUUCCUUAAAAGGAAUGCCAUGGAUGAUAAAUUUUCUAAGAAGAAUUCAGAAAAAAGUAGAGAGUAUCCGACUCUGUUAUUCAGAGAGCUGCUUCACCUAUACACGAGAAUUUGUAAGGAUGAUCGUGCUGGAUGCUGUCUUCAUCAUUGAGUUUUUGAAGGAUUCAUAUGAUGAUGACUUUCCUCAAACUGUUGAUACCAGGAUGAUAUCUUGCAUAGGAGAAGACUUGAUGCUACCUGAAAACCAACUACCUUUCUUCAUUAUCGACUAUAUAUAUAGCGAGUUUUAUCACCCUCGCCAAAACAUUACUUUUCUUGAUCUUGCCACCCGUCAUUUUGGAAAGUACCCAUUUGCACAAGGGCCAGAAUCCACACCACCGACAGAUGUAAGGCAUUUCACUGAUUUACUAAUGAAAUUAAUGUUGAAAGGAGCCCUCGAGCGAGACAAUUGCUCUAAGCCUCCUAUCAAGCUGAAAUAUAGCGCCGUCACGCUUCGCAAAGGAGGAGUGAAGUUUCAGGUCUCCGAAGACAAGUGUUUGUUCAACGUACAUUUUAAGAACGGAGUGCUGAAAAUACCACUCUUGGAAGUUGAUGAUUCCUUCGAACGUUUUGUACGAAAUGUCAUGGCCUUGGAGUACUGCUCCAAACCGAGUGAAGCUCGCAUGGUCAGCAACUACUUUAAGUUUAUGGACCAUCUUAUUGACAGGGCAGAAGACGUGGCUUUGCUAGCUGAAGAGGGAAUUAUUAAGAACUGGCUAGGUGAUGACGCCGCAGUUUCAAAGUUGAUGAACAACCUUAGCCAACGUAGUGAAAAAACUUGUUAUUAUAGUGAUAUCUGUCAAACGCUGAAUGCCUACCAUGAGAACCCCUGGAACCGUAGAAAGGCAACCUUGAAACUCGUAUAUUUCAGCAAUCUUUGGAGAGGUACGGGAACUAUUGCUGCAGCUUUCCUUCUAAUCCUCACUUUGAUACAGACUAUAACUUCCCUGAAAUCGUCAUUCUAGGAUUAAAUCUUGUUUAUUUCUAUUAAUCCUACGCAAUAAUUGAUGGGUUUGUUAUUGUUGUAUUCCUUAGAAAUUGUUGUUUUAAUCUAGUUCAAAGCUCGCGUAGUUCUAAUGUAGCUAUUUCUUGUUGUAUUGUCCUGAAACUGAUUCUGUACCUGUUCCCUGUGUGAUGUCCUUUCCUCUCAAAUCUCUCUUCUUUUAAGCUCUUCUUCUGAUUAAAUAAAGCUGAAGAAUGCAUGAUCUCUAUUUUCACUUGAUCAUGGCAACUGUGAAGCCUUAAAUCCUAAACUAGUCGAAUUAUGCCAAGUAAAUACCACAAGUCAAUAUUGGCAUUAAUUUCCAGAUUCAUAAGCUAUCGACCUCACAACCAGGAUUUCCUGAAGAACUUCCAUCAAUGUCAAUUUCUUUGCAUCCUGCGGAGGACCUAACCACGAAACCGAACACGUUUUUUAAUGAACAACUAGGUUCGAAUCCCUCUUUUGCAACCAAAGAAAAAAAAAAUACUAUGGUUUCUCUGGGUCAAUUUUGUUGCUCUCCAUGACAAGCAUUUUGAUCCGUGAUUCCUUGACGCCAUGCUCAUUCAUCAACCAUAGCUCAAAACUGUCGUCGUCGUCAAGACCACAAGAAUAGAUGGAGUUUUCAUAAACUCCAAUUUCUAUAUCCCAGCAAUAGUUAUCCAGAGAGUGAGAAUGAUCUAAAUUUCUCGUUUCCAAGAUCAAACGCACAUAUUACAGUAGUGUUAAUCAAUGUUAAUGGUUUCAUAACGAUCAACUAUAUAACAUCCAUAAAUGAACAUGGCGAAAGAAGGCCAACAAUCUGGGUAGCCUUGACAGCCGAGGACUUCUCCAGGUGCCAGUCUCGAUUAUGAAUACCUUAGCAGGAAUUCAGAAGAAUCUAUUGACUCAUAAACUCUAAUAACCUUAUCAAUUUAUGUGGUUAAUUUAUACACGAUCCAUGUGCCUCUAUAAAUUUAUCUAUAAUAUAAAGUUUCCAAAAAUUUCAAUGUCACCCUAAACUAAUAAUAAAACCCCAAUCCCUUUUGAGAGCCGAAUGCCUCUGAUCUCUACCGUAGGCGUCGAAGAAGAAUAAAAAUAAAAAAAAGCCCCCAAAAAAGAAGAAAAAAACAUGAAUGGAGUUUUAAACAACCCAUAUUUUGAAUUUUCUUUUUUAAAAAAGGUUUUCAAUUUUGUUUUAGAUAUUAUUACACAUUGAAGAUUCUUGAUAAUUUUUUAAAAAUAUAUAUAUUAAAAAGAUCAUAUUUUUCUUUUUGUUAGUUACCAUGUGUUUAGUAUUAAUGUGUAAAAUGCCUUUUAAAAUGCUUUUUACAGUGAAAAAAAAAAAUUAGUAUAGACACGUACCAGUCAAAUGCCAACGCUCUAGUACUUUCUCUCAUUGACUUAGAAUAGGUAUUUACUAUAUUUUUUCUUGCACUGUACCACUGAUUAAGUUAAAUUUUUUUAAUAUAAAAAGAUGAUUAGAUGAUGAUAAUUUGAGUUAAAAUGAUAAAUACGUGUGACAUAAAAUUGGGAUAUUUAAUAAAAAAAAAAGGUGAAAAAAAACUUACAAAUUUGAAGGGCCAAUAUCUUAAUUUCAAAUGAUAAAAUUUAAAAACAAAUCUCAAAGAAAAAAAUUCUGAGUCGGCAUGAGUUCACUUAACCAACCCGUCACCCGCUUCAUAAAAUCAGGAUAAAAAAUAUUUUUUUUAGAAAUGACCUAGAAAAAAGGAUCGAACAUAAAUAAAUAAAAAAUUGAAAAAAAAAUUGAAUCACCCCAAAUUAACUUAACUAAUAUGCAACUCAGGAUAACACUAUGGGGAAAAAUGCAUAAAAAAUAAAAAAAGCUUAAUACCCAAUAAUUUAAUAUUAAAUGAUGAAAUUUAAAAAAAAUUAAAAAAACAUUGAAAAAAAAUUCGAACCAGUCUAUAUUAACUUACUAACCCGCGACUCAAGAUAACUCCCAUAAAAAAAAAAGUGAAAAAAAAUAAAAAAGCUCAAGGCUUAAUAAUUUAAUAUCAAAUGAUAAAAUUGAAUUUUGUUAUAUAAAAAAAAACUAAAAUUAAACCGGGCUACUCUUCAAAAUUAAUGAUAUGGUUGGAUAAAAAUAUUGAGGGAUUAAAUUGAGAAAAAAAAAACAGUUAAAAGAAUUAGGACUAAAAUUAUAUUAAAAAAAAGAAAUAAAAUGUUUAGAAAUAAAAUUCAAAACAAAAUUAAGAAAAAGAUUAAAAAAAAGUGAAAUUAAAAAAUGAGGGCAAAAAUUGGAUUGGAAAAAUUAAUGAAAUAAAAUGUUAUGUAAAAAUAUCAAGAAAAUAAUAAAAAAAACAAUUAAAAAAAUAAGUAUUAUAUUUUAUAUAAAAAAUAAAAUCAAAUUGAAAAUAAUAAAAUUCAAAAAAAUUCAAAACAAAUAAAGAACAUUAAAAAAAGUUAAUGGGAAGAUAACUUCUGAAUUUUUGCUAACCCAGUACGGAUAGGUACAUCCGAGUCACAUGUCAGUGCUCUAGUGCUCUCUCUCAUUGACUUGUUUAGGUAUUUACUAGAAAGAUUACUCGUAUUAUGUUAGUGGUCGAGUCAAAUUUUGUUUAAUAAAAAAUAAUAAUUAAGUGAUUAUAAUUUGAGUUAAUAUAACUAACACUUGUAAUAUGAGAUUGGGAUAUCUAAUAAAAUAAAAAAUAAUAAUAAAUUACUUUAAAAUUUAAAGUCUAACAACCUAACUUCAAAUGAUAAAAUUAAAAGAAAAAACAAAAUCAAAUUCAAAAAAAAAACCUCGAAAAAAAAAUCUGAGUCAACAUGGAUUCACUCAACUAACUUGUCACCUGUGACAUAAGAUUAGAUAAAAAAAAUAUUUUUUUAAAUGAUUUUAAAAAAAUGAUCAAAGUUAAAUAAAAAAAAAAACUUUGAUAAAACAAAUAUGAGUCACUCCGGGUUAACUUAACUAACCCGCAACCUGAGAUAACUCCAUAGAAAAAAAAAAUAUAAAAAAUAAAAAUGCUUAAGAAAUCAAAAGGCUUAAGAUCUAGUAACCUAAUAUAAAAAAAAAUUGAAAAAAAAAUUAAUAUCAUGUUAUAAUAUCAUGGUUUAAAUUCGGUAUAAAAAAUACUGUAUUUGCAUGGUUUUAAAACAAAAUUUCUAAUAUCAUGUUCCCUCUUGAUCAUGACCUAUUCCGGGAGAAGGGAAAGGGAGGGAUUUAAAAGUUUAGAAAUUAUGCUAUGCAUACAAAUAAUUUAUAUUAAAUUUUUAAAUAUACUAUAAUGUUAGGUGAUAAGCAGUGAAGUAUAGGUCUCAAAAAUAUUAAACAAUUGGACAAGCAUGAAAGAGUAAUUAUCACAUUUUAUACAAAAAAUUUAUAUGAUUUUCUUUUAGCAUCGCUCUUAAAAUUUACAUGGUGGCAAAAGGAGGCUUAAUUUUGUUAAAUAAUAUAGGAAUUACUAUAUUAUUUUGGUGAAAUAUAUCUUAAAAAAUGCCAAGAUAUAGAAUACAUUGAUGAAAAUGGCUUUACUUUUCUUGAUCUAUCAAGCUGAAAUAUAGCAUGUUGAAAAUACCAUGCUUGGCAAGGCAGGAGUCAAGUUUAAGGUCUCCAGAGACAACUGUUUGAUCAAUAUACAAUUUGAGAACAGAGUGUUGAAAAUACCACGCUUGGAAGUUCAUGAUUCUUUCGAACGUUUUGCACGAAAUCUCAUGGCCUGGGAGCAGUGCUACAAACCGGGUGAAGCUUAUAUCAGAGUUUGUUUAAUAGUACAGUUGCUAUUGCUUUUUAAAUAAUUUUUUGUGUCGAAAUAGAUUUUGAAUAUAUUAUCUCACUCAUGCUUCGAAGGCAGGAGUCAAGUUUAAGGUCUCCAGAGACAACUGUAUGAACAACAUACAAUUUGAGAACGUACUGUUGAAAAUACCACGCUUGGAAGUUAAUUAUUCUUUCGAACGUUUUGCACGAAAUGUCAUGGCCUGGGAGCAGUGCUACAAACCGUAUGAUCGCUUGCUAAGUUUAUGGACCAUCUUGUUAAGACUGCAGAAGACGUGGAUUUGCUAGUUGAAGAGGGAAUUAUUCUCAACUGUCUACGUGACAGUGCAACAGUCUCAAGUUUGAUUAACAAUCUCUGCCAACAAAUUUGUGAAACUUAUUCUUAUUAUAGUGAUAUCUGUCGAAGGAUGAAUGAGCACUAUGAGAACCGCUGGAAAGGCAACCUUGAAACUUGUAUAUCUCAGCAAUGUUUGGAGAGGUACGGGAACUGUUGCUGCACCUAUAUAUCCAGCUAAUCUUCACUUUGAUACAGACUAUAAUUUCCGUAAAACCAUCAUUCUAAUAUUGGACAGGACAAGGGAAGUGCUUCAAAUAUGAACAAGGAUGACACCGUAACAAGAUUUUCAGAAGAAGAAAGGAACCUUCAAUAUAUUUUCCAACGGCUGAAAGAUAAGUUAAAGAGGUUGACCCCUCAACAGAGUAGGCCUGAGUGCUGUAUCUACGGGGUUCCCAGCUCACUUCGAGACACGAAACCGGAAGCCUACUAUCCACAACUGAUUUCAAUAGGUCCUCUUCACCACGGUGAUACAAGACUAAUGGCCAUGGAAGAGGAGAAAUUAAGAUACUUAAAAGAGUUAAUUGAACAGAGUGAGAUGGUUGAGCUGAUAAUUAAAGAAUAUAUGUUCUGAGCUACUUUCAGCAAAUGGAAGAGAAUAUCCGAAGCUGUUAUUCAGAGAGCCUCAUGGAAAUUAAUAGCUGUGAUUUCAUAGAGCUAAUCCUGCCGGAUGCCAUCUUCAUCAUUGAGUUUUGAAGGAUUCAUACGUCCUAAAAAAUUUGAUCGCAGGAUGACAUUUUGCUUACGAGAAGACUUGAUGCUACUUGAAAACCAACUACCUUUCUUCGUUAUCGACCAUAUUUAUCACGAUCUCAAUCAUAUCAUACAUACAAAAGACAUUCCUUCUCUAGAUCUUGUCGCCCAUCAUUUUCUAUGGUUCCAGAUUACCCAAGGGCCAGAAUCCAAACAACGGAUAGAGGUAAGGCAUUUCACUAAUUUACUAAGGAAUUUGUACGUUGAAUGGAGCCCUCGAGCGUCGUAAUUACCUCUUAGAUUGUAAUUCCUUAGCUGGACAGUAUUUAAUGGAGAACAGAACAAAAGAUAGACAGAGUUUGUUUCUUUGCAAUUGCUUUUCUUAAGAAUAUAAGUUGGAGUGCGUCUUUUGCAGAGAGAUUCCGUGUUGCUAGUUACAUGUUAUUCUUAUUAGAUUCAACGAGAGGUUGAGCCAGGUAGCAUUUACAUCAACAUGUCAAGUGCUUCAGACAUUGAUGAGGAUACUAACAAGGCAAACGCUUCAAAUAACAAAAUGGCUUCGGACUUGGACGAAGGAUAUUAUGAGAUUGGCAGCAAAGACCGGGAACUUCGAAAUAUUUGGCUAGAGCUGGAAGGAUUAAUGGAGUUGCCCCCUCAAAAGGACCGGGCUGAUGAAUGCUGUAUCUACAGGGUUCCCAACUCACUUCGAGUCAGAAAUCCGGAAGCCUACACUCCACAGCUGAUUUCAAUUGGUCCUUUUCACCACAAUGAUGAAAGACUAGAGGCCAUGGAAACGCUGAAAAGAAAAUAUCAAGGAGAGUUCCUUAAAAGGAAUAACAUGGAUGAGAAGAAAUUUAUGGAUUUUCUAAGAAGAAUUCAGAAAAAAGAAGAGAGUAUCCGACUCUGUUAUUCAGGGAGCUUCGGAAUCCAAAAACCUCUCAACAUACCUGGGAAGGUUCGCAAUGACAUCGCACUCUCGCAAGGGAGUACACCAAUUUUUUAAGUGGUGUUUGAAAUUCUUUUUUUGGUGCUUUUUAAAAAUAAAUUUUACAUGAAAACAUUAAAAUGAUAAUUUUUUAGUAUUUUUAAAUAAUUUAAAAGUAUUAAUAUUAAAAGUUAGCUCUUAAUUGACCCAAAAACUUUGAUUUUCUUGUAAUUUUAUUUCUAAUUUCAAUCAAUUGAUUUGGUAAAAAGUAAAUUUGAUAUUUUACAAUUCCAAUCUUCCCAAAUAAGUUCACAUUAGCCUUCCAAACUUAAUUUUUUAUCAAUUAAAAUAAAUAAAUAACUUAUCUUAAUAUAUAAUUUCAAAUGAAAAAUUAUUUUAAAAAACAUGUCAUUUAACAAUUCAAAACUCCAAACACAUACCUACAGGCUACAGCGACCAGCAUGGCUGCUUGGAAUGAAAAGGAGGAUGAAAAAUAACAAAUCAAUGUAAUCUCAAACGCGCAAUGUAUAUUUGGCCCAACCAAGGGGUCGAUAAGCAGAGCAAGACAUAUCAUAAAACGCCCAAUUCAUAUUGAUCCCUUUGUCCUAAAAAAAGACCCCUUUAGUCAAUUAGAUUAUAAGUUAAAUAAAUUCUCCGUUGACUAGUAAAUACGAGAUGAAAUGUCCGCGCACUGCCACGGGCUUAUAAAACAAAUACACUUGAUAGUGUUAUAAUUGUGAACCAAUGCUAGAUAAAUAAUAGAAAUUAAAGGUAUGAUAGAGCAAAUAUUUCAUGACGGGAAAAAAAGUUGUGAUGGUGAUCAAAAACUCAGAGAUUAAACAAAAUGAUUUGUAGAUAUUUAUAGUGUUUUGUGAGGAAAGAUACAGUGCUUUCACUAUAUGAUUUAGCUUUUUAGUUAAUAAAAAGAAAAAAAAAUUACAAAGCUAAAUUCUCUAUCAACUUAAUAUUAAAAAACAAAACCAAUAAAGAUAAUUUUGGAAGGAAAAAAACCCAUGAGAAAAAAUAUUGCUGCAAUUGACAAUGUUCUGUAAGGAAAACUAUAGCGCUUUUCCCAAUAAAAUAAAAUAAAAAACCAUUUAGAGAAAUAUUGUAGCAAUCCACAGUGUUUUGUGAGAAAAAACUACAACGCUUUCCUCAUAUGAUUUAGCUUUAUUGUAAUUAUAAUUUUUAACCAACUCAAUAUUAAAAAAAAAUCGACAAGAUAAUUUUGGAAAAAAAUUAAAAAAAAUCACAUGGAAAAACACUGCAACAAUUCAUAGUGUUUUAAAAAAUAUAAAACUUAAAAUUCUUAAUCAGCUCUAAUAAUUAAAAAAAAAUCGUCAGAGACAAUUUUAGAAAAAAAAAAACAAAACAAACACCAAAAAAAGAGGAAAAUCAUGUUGGAAACACUGUAGCAAUUCACAGUGUUUUGUGAUGAAAGCUACAGUGCUUCCCCACAUGAUUUAGCCUUAUUUGUAAUGACUUAUAAUUGUAAUUCACAAACAACUCAAUAUUCAAAAAAAAAUAAAAUUGAAAAGGAUAAUUUGAAAAAAAAUUAUAACAAAAAAAACCAUGCGGAGAGACACUGUAGCAAUCCACAAUGUUUUAUGAGCAAACUACAAUGCUUUUCCCACAUUUGAUUAAGCUUUAUUACAAAAGUUAAAUCUUCAAACUCAAUAUUAAAAAAAAUAAAAUGGACGAAGAUAAUUUUGGAAAAAAAUAUUACAAAAAAGAAAACACAAAAGAAACUGAAAAAAACCAUAUGAGAAAAAUUGUUUAAUCCAUAGUGUUUUGUGAGGAAAAACUUGUAAUUGCAAUUCUUAACCAGCUUCAAUAUUUAAAAAAUAAAAUUGACAAAGAUAAUUUUAAGGAAAAACAUCAUAAAACAGGAAAAAACCAUGUGAGAAAACACUUGUAGCAAUCAACAGUAAUUUUCGAGGAAAUUUACAGUGCUUUCCUCACAAUUAUAACUGUAAUUUUUAACCAGCUCCAUAUAAAAAAAUUAAAAAAAAAAAAAAAAAAAGAUAAUUUCGGAAAAAUAAAAAAAAAAAUCAUGCAGAGAAACAUUGUAAAAAUCAACAAUGUUUUAAAGAAAAAAAAUUACAAAACUAAACUCUCAAUCAGCUCAAUAUUAAAAAAAAUCGACAAAUAUAAUUUUGAAAAAUAAAAAAUAAAAUAAAAAAAUAUGUGGAAAAACAUCGCAGCACUCCACAGUAUUUUAAAGAAAAAAAUUAGAAAGCAAAAAUUUUAACCAAAUCAAUAUUUAAAAGGUAAAAUCAACAAAAAUAAUUUUGGAAAAAAAUUAAUAAAAAAUGAAAAAAAUAAAAAAUAGGAAAGUUGAAAAAAAAAAGUAAAUUUGAAAAAAAAAAAAAAAAAGAAACGAAAAAAAGAGAGGAAAAGUUAGAAAAAAAAAAAAAAAAGGAGGAAAGCACUGUUAAAAAUGAAAAAAUAGAAAAGUUGAAAAAAAAAAUUUGAAAAAAAGAAGAAGAAAAGAAACGACAAAAAAAAAAGGAAAAGUUAGAAAAAAAAAAAAAGAAAGCACUGUGAAUUACUGUUGUAAUUCACAGGGUUUUGUGUGUGGGGGAACAGUGAUUCCCCCACACUAUUUAGAGUGUUGUAUAAUAUAAUAAUAUUUUCCUCUUUAUUAUUGUCAUGAUUUGGAGGGUUGAUAGGAGCAGGAAGCCAUCCAAGGAGAGAGAGGCUGCAGCAGGAAAAAGAGGCCGGCUGCUGCUUGGGAUCAUAUAUAAAAGAUUUAGUCGUCCGAUCAUCGAUCUCUCCAAGGUCAGCCCUGGCUUACUAGUUUUUCUUUUAAAUAUAUAUUUAUGUACAGAGAGAGAGAGAGAGAGCCUAGACCGAAGAGAAGUCAGCUAGAUUUUGAUCUUGUAAAAUGCUGAUGCUGUUAACUCGGUUCACGACUUAAAAAAGCUUAGCUACAGUACCCGGACCUUAAUUUACAGGGAAAAAGGUCCGGGUAGAAAGCAUUAUAUAUAUGUGUGUGUGUGAGAGAGAGAGAGAGAGAGAGAGAGUUUCACAAAUCGUUGAAGUUCGUUUCUUGCUCUGGCUUUCUUGCCUGUAUGAAACGGCAUAUAAUAAUUAUCUUCUUCUUUUUUAUGCUAGCACUUUAUAUAUAUAAAUGGUAUGGAUGAAGACAAUUGAUUGAAACCUUUUAUGUUUGCGACAACCCAAGACAUUUUAUACAAAAACUUUACACGAUUUUCUUAAGAUUUACAUGUUGGCAUAAAGUGCCUUGAUAUUGUGAAAUAAUAAAGAAAUUGCUAUAUUAUUUUUGUUAAAAUAUAUCUCAAAAGUGCCUUAUUCUGAUGAAAAAAGCAACACUCAAAAUUGAACUGUACACCUGCCAUUCAUUCUUGGUUUUGUUUUGUUACCGAUCCAGAAUGGAAAAGGGUAAAUUUACUGCAAGAGAUUCAAACAUGAAAAAUGAUGUUGAAAAGGCAAGUGCAUCGAGUAUGGAAGAGGACAAGGCUAGCGCUUUAGACAUUGAUGAGGAUACUAACAAGGCAAGUGCAUCGAAUAUUGAAGAGGACAAGGCUAGCGCUUCAGACAUUGAUGAGGAUACUAACAAGGCAAGCGCUUCAAAUAUGAAAAUGGUUUGGGACUGGGACGGAGGAUAUUAUGAUAUUGACAACGUAGAAUGGGAACUUCGAAAUAUUUGGCUAGAGCUGGAAGGAUUAAAGGAGUUGCCCCCUCAAAAGGACCGGGCUGAUGAAUGCUGUAUCUACAGGGUUCCCAACUCACUUCGAGUCAGAAAUCCGGAAGCCUACACUCCACAGCUGAUUUCAAUAGGUCCUUUUCACCACAAUGAUGAAAGACUAGAGGCCAUGGAAACGCUGAAAAGAAAAUAUCAAGGAGAGUUCCUAAAAAGGAAUAACAUGGAUGAGAAGAAAUUUAUGGAUUUUCUAAGAAGAAUUCAGAAAGAAGAAGAGAGUAUCCGACUCUGUUAUUCAGGGAGCUUCAGAAUCCGAACAGAACGUUUUGUAAAGAUGAUCGUGCUGGAUGCUGUCUUCAUCAUUGAGUUUUUGAAGGAUUCAUAUAAUGAUGACUUUCCUCAAAAUCUUGAUACCAGGAUGAUAUCUUGCAUAGGAGAAGACUUGAUGCUACUUGAAAACCAACUACCUUUCUCCGUUAUCGACUCUAUAUAUAGCGAGUUUUAUUACCCUCGCCAAGAUGAACCAAACAUUCCUUUUCUUGAUCUUGCCACCCGUCAUUUUGAAAAUUACCCAUUUGCACAAGAGCCAGAAUCCACACCACCGACAGAUGCAAGGCAUUUAGAAUCCACACCACCGAGGCAUUUCACUGAUUUACUAAUGAAAUUAAUGUUGAAAGGAGCUGCCCUCGGGCGAGACAAUUGCUCUAAGCCUAUCAAGCUGAAAUAUAGCGCCGUCACGCUUCGCAAAGCAGGAGUGAAGUUUCAGGUCACCGAAGACAAGUGUUUGUUCAACGUGCAUUUUGAGAACGGAGUGUUGAAGAUACCACUCUUGGAAGUUGAUGAUUCCUUGGAACGUUUUGUACGAAAUGUCAUGGCCUGGGAGCAGUGCUACAAACCGAGUGAAGCUUACAUCAGCAACUACUUUAAGUUUAUGGACUAUCUUAUUGACAGGGCAGAAGACGUGGCUUUGCUAGCUGAAAAGGGAAUUAUUAAGAACUGGCUAGGUGACGACGCCGCAGUUUCAAAGUUGAUGAACAAUCUUAGCCAACGUUGUGAAAAAACUUCUUAUUAUAGUGAUAUCUGUCGAACGCUGAAUGACUACUAUGAGAACCCCUGGAACCGUAGAAGGGCAACCUUGAAACUUGUUUAUUUCAGCCAUCUUUGGAGAGGUACGGGAACUGUUGCUGCAGCUUUCCUUCUAAUCCUCACUUUGAUACAGACUAUAACUUCCCUGAAAUCGUCAUUCUAGGAUUAAAUCUUGUUUAGUUUUAUUAAUCCCACACAAUAAUUGAUGGGAUUGUUAUUGUUGUAUUCCUUGGAAAUUGUUGUUUUAAUUUUAGUUCAAAGCUUGCGCAGUUCUAAAUGUAGCUAUUUCAUGUUGUAUUGUCCUGAAACUGAUUCUGUACUUGUUCCCUGUGUGAUGUCCUUUCCUCUCAAAGCUCUCUUCUUUUA